GAGUUUGAUCCUGGCUCAGAUUGAACGCUGGCGGAAUGCUUUACACAUGCAAGUCGAACGGCAGCACGGACUUCGGUCUGGUGGCGAGUGGCGAACGGGUGAGUAAUAUAUCGGAACGUGCCCAGUCGUGGGGGAUAACGUAGUGAAAAUUACGCUAAUACCGCAUACGAUCUAUGGAUGAAAGCGGGGGACUCGCAAGAGCCUCGCGCGAUUGGAGCGGCCGAUAUCAGAUUAGGUAGUUGGUGAGGUAAAGGCUCACCAAGCCCGCGAUCUGUAGCUGGUCUGAGAGGACGACCAGCCACACUGGAACUGAGACACGGUCCAGACUCCUACGGGAGGCAGCAGUGGGGAAUUUUGGACAAUGGACGAAAGUCUGAUCCAGCCAUUCCGCGUGCAGGAUGAAGGCCCUCGGGUUGUAAACUGCUUUUGUACGGAACGAAAAGGUCUCUCCUAAUACGAGAGGCUCAUGACGGUACCGUAAGAAUAAGCACCGGCUAACUACGUGCCAGCAGCCGCGGUAAUACGUAGGGUGCAAGCGUUAAUCGGAAUUACUGGGCGUAAAGCGUGCGCAGGCGGUUAUAUAAGACAGAUGUGAAAUCCCCGGGCUCAACCUGGGAACUGCAUUUGUGACUGUAUAGCUAGAGUACGGUAGAGGGGGAUGGAAUUCCGCGUGUAGCAGUGAAAUGCGUAGAUAUGCGGAGGAACACCGAUGGCGAAGGCAAUCCCCUGGACCUGUACUGACGCUCAUGCACGAAAGCGUGGGGAGCAAACAGGAUUAGAUACCCUGGUAGUCCACGCCCUAAACGAUGUCAACUGGUUGUUGGGUCUUAACUGACUCAGUAACGAAGCUAACGCGUGAAGUUGACCGCCUGGGGAGUACGGCCGCAAGGUUGAAACUCNAAGGAUUUGACGGGACCGCACAAGCGGUG
rnacentral:rRNA from 1 species